rnacentral:rRNA from 1 species
CCUACGGGUGGCUGCAGUGAGGAAUAUUGGUCAAUGGACGAGAGUCUGAACCAGCCAAGCAGCGUGAAGGAUGACUGCUCUAUGGGUUGUAAACUUCUUUUAUAUGGGAAUAAAAUGUUCCAUGUGUGGUAAUUUGUAUGUACCAUAUGAAUAAGGAUCGGCUAACUCCGUGCCAGCAGCCGCGGUAAUACGGAGGAUCCGAGCGUUAUCCGGAUUUAUUGGGUUUAAAGGGAGCGUAGGUGGAUUGUUAAGUCAGUUGUGAAAGUCUGCGGCUCAACCGUAAAAUUGCAGUUGAAACUGGCAGUCUUGAGUACAGUAGAGGUGGGCGGAAUUCGUGGUGUAGCGGUGAAAUGCUUAGAUAUCACGAAGAACUCCGAUUGCGAAGGCAGCUGACUGGACUGCAACUGACACUGAGGCUCGAAAGUGUGGGUAGCAAACAGGAUUAGAUACCCGAGUAGUC